rnacentral:tRNA from 1 species
GCCUUGGUAGCUCAGUCAGUAGAGCAUCAAACUUUAAAUCUGAGGGCCCAGGGUUGAAAUUCCUGUCCAGGGG